ensembl:lncRNA
UGUUGAAUCUGCAGUGUCACUUACUGCUCUUCUUUUUUCAGCGAGGAAGAGAAGCUGAAACAGCAACAUCCUUUCAGAAUAAAUGCCUUCAACCUCAUUUGUAAGAUGCUGGAGUGGUGUAGGACAAGGGAAACAAAACUCUUGAUGGAUGAGAUGUUUCACAGCAUCUUCUUUCUGGCGAAAAUCAACAUACCCCCCUUUUCUCCAGAAGAAAUUAUCCCAGAUAAAGAGAUGCUGCAGGCCUUGUUGGAAUCAUAUCCCAAGCCUGUGAAGCAUCUGUCCCAGCUCCCCAGGAGGAGUCCAUUCUCCUGUGUGCUGGAUAUGGUUGUGCUCGUCACUGGACAACAGAAUGAGGACCAAAUAAAGAACCAGCUGCAACAGUUUGUUCAGCAGCUCGGCGGUGAUACAUCAAAAGCUUUCUUGUCCACCACCAUGUGCGUCUCUCAGAUCAAGGGUAAAGAUUCAGUCCGGCACUACGGAGUCUCCAUGUCCACCUCUGGUCCGGUUGCUGGGAGAAUCAUGGUUGCUACCUCCUGCUUACAGACCUGGCAUAAGGACGUAGCUGGGGCAGUGCUGUCCUAUGAUCAACGCUCCAAGGAAAUGCCUCUAAGGUCAUAUUUUAAUGGAACCAUCAGACUUCCCCAGAAUAUCAGGUGUGAAGCGUACAACAUUCGUGAUAAAAAACCAAAACCCCCGUGCAAAUCGUGUGGAAAUUUGUUUGGUUUUACCAACUCUGAAGGAAAGCAAUGGCCCUAUGGAAACUGUGCUGAAGUUGAGAGUUUGAGUAAACUGCUCACAACUGAGGCAGUGCAGGUGCAGUUCCAAAAAGAUAAUCCAGGAGAUAGAGAGAAGGCUGUAGAAGAAGUUCGUACAGAACUUAAGAAUUUGUUGAGCAUGAUACACCAUAAGUGGGACGGUAAGUUUUAUGUCCCACAAAGUAUUUAGCCCAUUGGAGAAAACUAUAUCAAAACCAACGGAUAUCCCAUUGCCUUGCUACUUCUGGGGCUCAGUUUCUUCUCCCAAGUCUUCAGGGUGGUGAGCUGUAUUGAUAUCCUCUCUUUAAACCUCUGUGAGUUUCGCUGUGUGGGGAGUUACUAUUGAUCUGAUGGGUGAUGUAUCAGCAGAGGUUAUUGAAUUUAAAUAUGUACACAAGCUUAUAAAGUACACUUCUGAAAGAAAAUGAAACACUGGAACUCAAUUGAAAUUAAAAAAAAAGUUUAAAGAACUUAUCAAGUCCACUCUUUAGGAGUCAAAGUAAAUUAUAUUCGUACAUCGCAAUUCUACUUCAGCAUUAUAUCAACAAGAUAUCUGCUUAUCGGCAAUCAACACAGACAGGACACCGUUUGUCCAUUCCCAUAUACCAUAGUUAUAAUUUUAAUUCAUUCCAUUUUUACCAGUUUCUGAUCUACAUUAUAAGAAAAUAUAGAAACUUAGGUCUUGGCAUAUAGGGUUUGCUGUUCAGUGUAUUUGUGUAGCAAUUGUGUUUUUAUUUUCUUUUUAAAACAUCUGGACUGUUUGAUUCUUGUAUGUUCCUAUCCUUUCUCGUGUUGAAUUCAUGAGUUGAAGAGGUCCCUGGAAUGAGGUGACAGAGUCGUCGAUUUAGUUUAUCUUACAUUAUACAAGCAUUUUGGGAACUGUUGCACUCAGUGAGCUUCAGAAUCUUAAAUCUAUGAGAAAGGGGAUCAGAGGGAGCAUUCAAACCUGCCCAUGAUAUCACACGUAUGACUGUCUUCUGUAAAGUUUGUAAUUUCUCCAAAUAACUGCAAUACGUGUUGCACCAUAUGAUGUUACAGUAAUUUAAAUGUGGCUCAAAUAAUGGUCGAUAUAGACGAAGAAGCGACUAACUGAGUGCAUUUCCUCCGAUACCAUCAUGUUGCAAUUUUCAAAUUAGAAUUUCAAGGUCUGUUGUAUGAAAAGCUUUUGAAAAGUCAAGGAACACUCCCAUUCCAGACUCACCUUUAUUUAUAGUAUCAUUAAUUUUUUCAAUGAGGUCAAGAAUUGGUGGUGCUCUUCUUUCUAAAAUCGUCUUGCAAGAGGAUGAGUAUAUUAAGUUUAUCCAAAUAAUCACUUAGUUUAUUGUACACAGUUCUCUCAAGUACCUUUGAAAAGGUUGGUAGGAUCGAUAUACUGUAGGUCGAUAAUUCUGUAGGUCUUUUUUAUCACCAAAUUUAAAUACUGGUAUAAAUUUAGAAAUCGUCAUCAAUGUAGGAGAGGUUUAUACAACAAGCAGGCAGCUCAACAAUUUCAUUAAUAAUACAUUCGAUAAUUUUACUAUAUAUUGCAGUGUGAGAGCUUUCUAUUUUCAUGAUGAUCUUGAUGAUUUCUAAUUUAUUUGUAGGUUUUAGAAAGAUCUUAUAUUUAAAUAAGAUAAGAUAAGAUAUUUAAAUAAGAUAAGAUAAGAUAUUUAAAUAAUCAGCCAUUCAAUACGACAUGGCUCCCCCAGGUGGAUUCACAUUUUGGAGAGAGUGUCACCUAUGGAGUUGAAGUAAUUUUUGGAAAGAUUUGCAAGAUGACGAUCAUUGAGGACAGUUUUGUUGACUUUUAGUGUCAGGAAGGACAGAUGUUAUUUUGACCCCAGUCAAGCACAUUGUUCAUCACUGUCCAGCAUUGCGUCUGAUCACCAUGAGAAGCCUUAAUAAGUUCAGUAUAACGAUUUCGCUUACUUUCUUGUAUUACAUUUGUCAGUUUGCUCUGCUAUUUAGUGUGUCUUUAUUUUUGUCAGUUGGACUGUUGGCAUAAUGUUUGUAUAGGUUGUUUUUCUUAUUGAUUGAUUUCAAGAUAUCUUUCUUAGGCCAUUUAUUUUGCUCCCCACCAUGUCUUUUGAUUGUCUUUUCUGAUAUAAUGCUUAUGCCAUCAGCUAUUCUUUGAUAAAAAAACAUUAUAUACUUCAUCUGGUGUUUUACAUCUGUACACACUAUGUUUUGUACUCAGGCUUUCCAGAUAAUUUGUUUAGGUUUUUGCUUGUCAGUACUUUCAUUUUCUGUUUGGAUAGUAGUUUAUUGAGUUUUUCCUUUCCUGUAAUAAGAUUUACAAAAAGUUCAGUUGAAUUGAUCCAAAACAUCAGCUACUAUGACACCAGAAUAAAAGAGAGUAUUUCCAAUAUUUGUUAUGAUUUUAUCAAUUAAGGUUUUAGUAUUUUUGGUUUCUCAAGUGCACACAUUUACUGUGGGGGAAAAAAGGAUGAAGAAUAGAGGGAACUUAGAAAGUUAUCUUUUAUGCUUUUGUCAUUGGCGGAAUUAAUGUUAAAGUCACCAAGAGUAAACAUUUUUUUGUUUGUAUUAUGUAUGCAGUUUAGUCAUAUUUCUAAUUUGGUCAAAAAAUUGUUCAAAUGGGAAUCUGGGGGUCAGUAAAUUACUCCUACAAGACAAGGCCAGUAAAUUACUCCUACAAAUACAUACAUUAUUCCUACAAGUAUAGUUUUGUUGUGAUAUCAUUUGUUCUUGAUCUCUCUCUGUUAUUGUGCUGUAAUUUUUUUUUAAUCUAAAGAGUUCAUUGCUUUUUCUUUUUCAUAAAUAGUUUGAGUGACAGUUAUUACAUUCAGUCUUACUCGGGGUUUAGUUAAUGAAGUUAGAUUCAUUCAAAAAUUAAUCAGCCUCCAUUGUUUUGUUCAUGGAUGGACAAAGUUGUUUAUAAGUACCAUAUCGGUGAUGAAAUGAGUCAGAGUGUGAAACCAUGAAAAGAUGAAAAAGCUGCUUGACAAAGAAGGAAUUUUUCCUCUAAAAUUCAAUAAACUGUUUUUUCUCUGAACUGGAAGUUUGCCUUUAUUUCAAAUUAAGAUUAUUUUGUUCAUUUUCCA